rnacentral:rRNA from 1 species
UACGAAGGGGGCUAGCGUUGCUCGGAAUCACUGGGCGUAAAGGGUGCGUAGGCGGGUCUUUAAGUCAGGGGUGAAAUCCUGGAGCUUAACUCCGAAACUGCAUUCGAUACUGGCGUGCUUGAGGACUGGAGAGGAGACUGGAAUUUACGGUGUAGCAGUGAAAUGCGUAGAUAUCGUAAGGAAGACCAGUGGCGAAGGCGGGUCUCUGGACAGUUCCUGACACUGAGACACGAAGGCCAGGGGAGCAAACGGG